CAUGUCAAACCCUCAGAUCUUACUGGGACAACAUUUCUCAAAACAUUCCCUUGGGAAAGAUGCCAUUAUGACAGUGGGGAGGAUGAAGAUAUUCGAGCCCCCGCUUUUUUGUCUGCAUGGUAGGAGGUGCAGCUCUUGUGUUACCUGCCAGAGGCUUCCAUGGUUGCAGAGAAGAAUACUCAACUUCUUCUGUAAGAUUCAGUUUUAAAAUAUGGAUAAACUGUCUCUGUACUUAUUGCACCCGAGGAAGCCGUCUCGCCUUACUGACGUGGCCUGAACUGUGCUGCAGCCCGUAACUGAAUUUGGACUUGCCUCAGAAUUUAUUCCUUUCUAUUGCACCUUCGGAGCCCAGUUAACCUUUUUAAGUGAUUGUUUCUCCAAGUGAAUAUGAAAUAUUAUUGCAGAGAUUGCCACAUCUUUUUUAUUAAUUGCAUUUGAGCUUUAUUAUGUGAAAUGGAAAUGGCUUAAUUGAGCUGCUCAAAUCUUUAAAAUUGGCAGUUUUUUCCUACUAGGUUUGUAGCAGCCAAUGAUCAGAAAUACUAAGGGCUUAGAGACUGUGGAAAGGGCUACAUAUGCCCACAUUUUCUGAGUAAUUUUCUCUAUCUCAACACGGAAAUUUACCUGGAAGAAAUGUAGGAAUUAUUUUUUCAUGUUUGUCUGAGCUCUGAAUGUCCAGCAGGCUCGAUGAAGAAGCUCUGCAUAGGCAGGGAAAUUGUGGCAGAACCCACACCCAGCUGCUCUCUGCCCAUGAGGCCCUGCUGAAGCAUGAGACUGAUAUGCUCCAAGCACCUGGAGCUUUUCUGCUUUUCACUGGUGAUUUUUACACGACUUAUUCAGAAAAUGGAUGGUUUGUCAAGUUUGGCUUGAGACAGAGCACUUUAAAUAAGGAAAAGGAGAUGAAGAGGAUUAAAAGUGCAAUUGAAUGUA